AUACGUAGGGUGCGAGCGUUGUCCGGAAUUACUGGGCGUAAAGAGCUCGUAGGUGGUUUGUCGCGUCGUCUGUGAAAUUCCGGGGCUUAACUCCGGGCGUGCAGGCGAUACGGGCAUAACUUGAGUACGGUAGGGGAGACUGGAAUUCCUGGGGUAGCGGUGAAAUGCGCAGAUAUCAGGAGGAACACCGGUGGCGAAGGCGGGUCUCUGGGCAGUAACUGACGCUGAGGAGCGAAAGCAUGGGUAGCGAACAGGAUUAGAUACCCUGGUAGUCCAUGCCGUAAACGGUGGGCGCUAGGUGUAGGGGUCUUCCACGACUUCUGUGCCGUAGCUAACGCAUUAAGCGCCCCGCCUGGGGAGUACGGCCGCAAGGCUAAAACUUAAAGGAAUUGACGGGG
rnacentral:rRNA from 1 species